rnacentral:rRNA from 1 species
GUCUACGGCCAUACCACCCUGAACAUGCCCGAUCUCAUCUGAUCUUGGAAGCUAAGCAGUGUCGGCCCUCGUUAGUACUUGGAUGGGAAAAAGAAGCUAAAUU